rnacentral:lncRNA from 1 species
GAAGUCGAUUCGGAGGAAUUGAACCACAAAGGCAACACAGCAACUGCGCUUCAAGCAUCACAAGUUGAGGAGGUUAAAGGCAGUGGACCUUCAGUUGCACCUGAGAGAGCAUCUGAUGAUGGAUACAACUGGCGAAAAUAUGGACAGAAACUUGUUAAAGGAAGUGAGUUUCCACGCAGUUAUUACAAAUGUACACAUCCUAACUGUGAAGUGAAGAAACUUUUUGAACGCUCUCAUGAUGGUCAAAUCACUGAGAUUGUUUACAAAGGAACACAUGAUCAUCCGAAGCCUCAACCCAGCCGACGAUACUCUUCUAGCACUAUUGUGUCUAUGCAAGAAGAGAGAUCUGGUAAGCCUUCUUUGGCUGGCCGAGAUGGUAAUACCAGCGAAAUUAUUACCAUUGCUUCCAUUUAUUAUUACUUACUGCAAAGAAAAUAUGUUGUCUUUCUUUUUCGUCUAAUUCUUGAAUUUUGGACAAAGCAUCCAAUAUCUAUGGUUUGGUGUCUUUUGCAGCUGAUCCCAACAGCACUCCAGACCUAUCGGCUGUGGCAACAAAUGAUUGUCAAGAGGGUGCUGCGCUUGUGUCGAACAGGACUAAUGAGGAAAUUGAUGACGAUGAUCCCUUCUCGAAGCGUAGGUAUGACAAUAUAGGCCAAAGCUGUAGGUUUUCUCCAUUCUCCAGCAUACAUCUUACUUGUUGACCAUGCGUUUUUUUGUUGAGCAGAAAAAUGGAACUUGGAAUUGCUGACGUAACUCCUAUAGUUAAGCCUAUCCGGGAACCACGGGUUGUUGUACAAACUCUGAGCGAGGUUGAUAUAUUGGAUGAUGGGUAUCGCUAGAUUAGUUCCUUACCAAAAGAGUAAGAGAUAUAUACCUAAAAAAUAAUUGAAAAUGAAUAACAAAUAAUACAAUAACAAUGUAAAAGUUCUUAUAUUAUCAUUAUCGGUGUAUACAUUUUUUUCUCAAAUAAAAUAAUUUCAAUUAUUAAUCACUAUUUUCACCAUGGAGUAAAAAAAAUGGGGUCUUUAAAAUGACAAAGCAAUAUGACACAGAGAGAUCCAAAGUUACAAGUCAACUAAGUCUCACUCUCUCUUUCUCUCAAAAAAUGGCGAUAGUUAAAUGACCCUUAUGCCCUUCAUCCAUUCUCUACUUCUUCUGCUUUGACUCUCUCAGCAACACCACAAUGGACGCUUCUACCACCAAUGAAAGCAACUCAGUUUCGGACCCAAAUGACCCGAAUAAAAAAUUCGGGUCGGGUCAGAAUAAUUCAGCUAGGUAUAAGCUUAUGUCGCCGGCGAAACUUCCGAUCUCGAGGUCUCCCUGCAUCACCAUACCUCCGGGACUUAGUCCAUCGUCAUUUUUGGAGUCCCCGGUUCUUCUUUCCAACAUGAAGGUUCAUUCUCUCUCUUUGGGUUUUUGUUUAAUUUAAGUGUUUGGAUAGGGUGGGUGUGGUUUGGAUUUGGAUUUUGAUUUUGAUUUUUCAAUAUGGGUUUUUUGUUUGAUGAGAAAAGAUGGGAACUUUCGAAGGGAAAAGCUAAAUGGGUCAGUUAAUUCAAUAGGGAGAUUUGGUUUUCUUUUUUGUAGGUCAUUCUAGUCAAAGGGUGUGUUUUUACUUAACCCAAGUAAGAGUGGCAUGUCAAAAAUUUGAUCUUUUCGUAUUUGGGGUGGCCUCAAAUGUUCUAGAAUAUUUUUGAUGACUUAGAAAGACGUGAUUUGAAUAAUGUUGAGCUGAAAAUGCUUCAUAGAAUAAGAAAUUGGAAAAGAUUUCAGAUUCUUAUAUGCUUUUGUAUAACGUAGUGGCAAAAAACAAUUUUUUUUUUUAAAGCUGGCAUUUUUCUUGUUUGAUAUUUCACAUUGUGGGUUUUGUUUAUGGAUGCUUGUGUUUUGGUCCGUUAGGUUCUGAUGCUUAUUUUGCUCUUAUAGAAUUGUCAAUUUUGCAUUAGCUGCUUUAUGCUUCAAUUCUGUAUUCUGUUGGAAUAUGACUUUAACUGAGGAUCGUUAGACAUUCUGCUUUUUAAUAUUUUAAUGUCAGUGUUGUUUUUUCACAUAAUGAAUCUUUCUCUUUGUUGGUGCUUGCCCUUUUUGUUUGUUUUUUGUUUCAAUAUUGUAGCAGAUUGCACAGAAAAUCUUUUCUUUACAAUUUGUAUACUUGGCACAAAGAAUAAUUGCAUUCACUAGGAUUAAUGGAUCUGAUUUAGUUAUGUGUGCUACGAGAAUAGCAUAACGAAUGUUAGAAAGAUUGUGGGACAUGAUUUCAGUGAGAGGACUUGAUCUUGUAGAUGUUAAUUGUCUGGAUGGUCCUAAUCUGGUGUAAAAUGUGGUACAAGGUUCACUUGGGAAUCACUUUCAUAAGUUAUGGACUUAUGGUUAAUUAUUUAUAUUCUUAGGCAUAUUAUAAGUAAUAUGCUAUCUUUUGUCAUGAGGACUCCAAAUAAAUAACGCACAAUAUUAUAAGAUAGGGAAAAUAGAGAACCGUGCUUAUGCUCAAUUAUAGUGUGCCAUUUGUGUGGUUUACUCAUAUGGCAUAGAGGAUUUUAACUUGUAUUAUACUUCUUUCCUUGCCUCGCAGGUGGAGCCUUCACCUACUACAGGGUCCUUUUCUAAGCUUCAUCAAACAGUACAUGGUUCCAUGCCUUCUGCUAUGGCUGCUACAUUUCCUGUAACCACUACAUGCCUCAAUUCCAAUACUGUUGAGGAAAGAAAAUCAAACAUCUUUGAGUUUAAACCAAACAUGGUAAUGAAACAUUAAUUGAUGUUUGUAAUAAUAACAUGAUGGUGUAACGUGUGGACUUGGUUAUGAUGUUUCUUUAUCCUUUAGUUGUCAUGUUUAAUGUUUGGUUUAAUAUUGUUUUUGAGGAUUUCUAGUAGCUUAGUACUUAUCCAAUGCUAUUCACUUAUGUUAAGGUUCCUGUGGACUUCAACAACCACGUAAGUGAACAAUAUACUCAAGCGAAAGGUCCAGGAAAAGCUCAAUCAUUUGCCUCCUCGCCAUUAGUUGAAGGUGACAUAGCUGUUCCUUCUAAUGAAUUAAGCCUUUCAUCACCUGUUCAAAUGGUUAGUUCUGGGGCUAGUACUCCUGUUGAAGUCGAUUCGGAGGAAUUGAACCACAAAGGCAACACAGCAACUGCGCUUCAAGCAUCACAAGUUGAGGAGGUUAAAGGCAGUGGACCUUCAGUUGCACCUGAGAGAGCAUCUGAUGAUGGAUACAACUGGCGAAAAUAUGGACAGAAACUUGUUAAAGGAAGUGAGUUUCCACGCAGUUAUUACAAAUGUACACAUCCU